AGCAAGGAGGACAGUGAUGUGGAGUGAGUGAGGGGAAAAGCAUAAGGGGAUAGGAUCAGGCUCUGAAAAGCACUUGGAUUUUUACUCUGAGUGGGAAGUGAAGUCAUUGGGAGGUGUUCAGCCGAGGAGUGAUGGAGCUGCAGUGCUGAGAAUAGACCGUUGACUGGUGAAGGGAGAAGAGAAUGAUGUUUUGCACUGGGAAGUGAUACAUGGCAUGCAGUCACCAAAUGAGGUCACAUUCUGGGGUUCUGAGUGGACGUGAUUUAGAGGAACACUAUUCAACCUCGUACAGGGAACAAACAGAAGAAAUAACAUGUUUGAAGCAGUAGUGUGUUGGAGCUGACUCAAACCUGCUAUCAAGAGCCAACUGUUAAAUUUUCAGCAAUUUUGUUAUCUGGUAGACAUUAGUAACUUGAAAUUGAUCACAGUGUGAGUAUUUGCAUUGUGGAAAUUGACAAAUGCCACAAAUCAUGUUUGUUUAUUUUUCUUCUGGAGAACCCAUUGUUAAACAUUUACCAGCACACCACUGGUUUGAAGGCCUUGUAUCUGAAAAGACAUGUGUCUAGCAUGGCUGGCCUAUAAGGAAGUGUGGACUGGA
ensembl:lncRNA novel transcript